GACGAACGCUGGCGGCGUGCUUAACACAUGCAAGUCGAACGGAAAGGCGCCUUUGGGGGUACUCGGGUGGUGAACGGGGGAGUAAGACGAACGUAACCUUCCCUUACCUUUGGGAUUACUUCAGGUACGUGGGGCUAAUACCGAAACGGGAUGAUUUCUGGAUGGGGGGGGUUGGAAAGCUUCGGGGGUUUUGGAUGGAUUGGCGGGAUAUCGGCUUGUUGGUGGGGUUGUGGCUUACCAAGGCGUUGUCGGGUAGCCGGGCUGCGUGGGCGACCGGCGACACAGGGACUGAGAGACGGCCCAGACUGCUACGGGAGGCAGAAGGGGGGAAUAUUGCAGGAGGAGCGGAAGCCUGAUGAAGCAACGCCGCGGGCGGGAUGACGGCCUUCGGGGUGUAAAACGCAUUCAGCAGGGGCGAAGCUUGUGGUGACGGUACCUGCAGAAGAAGCACCGGCUAACUACGUG
rnacentral:rRNA from 1 species